rnacentral:lncRNA from 1 species
GGGGUUCACCCAGUCUCUCUUACUAAAAAGUGCUAAUUGUACCAUUAAUGCCUUCCACAGAACCUGUCCAGACACAGACUGAACUGAAUUUAAAAUAAUGAUGUGGCAAAGAAUGCAGCAUCAGCAGACAGUGUUCUUCUACAGAGUAAGGGCAAAAUUCGACUUUUCAUAAGGGAGCUGCCAUGAGAGAAGGAAUUGUGUUUGCUGAGAUAUUCUGGGAAGCCAUUUGGAAAGGCAUGGAGAGAGCAGAAACAGGAGAACUAUUUGAGAGACGAGGGAUACCAAAGAGUUGUCAUUAAAUGUCAAGGAGUUUUUGCAGAAAAGACAGUGUCCAAAAAGGAUUUGUGAGGCAUCAAGCUCUGAACCCCAAUAGAAGGAUUGUGUCAUACAGCUCUGAAAAGUACCCACCGCUGAGGCUGAACAAAACAACCGUGUAUCCAGUGCACAAUAAGUUAAAGCAAGAAGUGGAAAACAAUAGUAAGCAGAAGCAAGGAAAAUAAACUAAAGCUUAUAGUGCACUACUUUUCUCCAUUUGUGCUACAACUUAUAAGAUUGUAUAACGUCACCCAACGCUCUCUUCCCAACAAGAUGCAAUUCUUGGGGUGCUACUGCUUUGUGAACAAAAUGUGAUCAUACCAGCCAUCGGCUGCUGAAGAUAAUAAUGCAUGUGGAGAAAUUGUGAACUCUACAAUUUCUAGGAAAAUUAUUUCACGUCCUUUGAAGUAUAAAGUUUUCUUUCAGAUAUACACAAAAACUUUACAAAUCCCAAAUUGUUAAUUGGGAGACUUAAAUAGAGACUUAAACAAGCAAUUUCAUAUUUAAAAAUAUGCUAUCAAUGUGCAACCUGUUUCUCCGUGAGUUAGGAUUUUCUGGUAGUGUAUAUAUGCCCCUCAUUAAUCAAAGUAAUUCUCAUCAGAAUAGAACAUUCCCAAAUGGUUACAGUGUUUCAGAUCAAAGCGGGCCUGCUGCUAAAACUUAGAUUUUAAAAAUUUGAAGGAACACAUUGAAGAAAUGAAUAAAUACAUAUCCACAGGGGUUACA